rnacentral:rRNA from 1 species
ACCUACGGGGGGCAGCAGUAGGGAAUUUUCGUCAAUGGGCGCAAGCCUGAACGAGCAAUGCCGCGUGAACGAGGAAGGUCUUCGGAUCGUAAAGUUCUGUUGAAGGGGAAAAAGAGCGGAGAGAGGAAAUGCUUUCUGAUUGAUAUUACCCUUCGAGGAAGUCACGGCUAACUACGUGCCAGCAGCCGCGGUAAUACGUAGGUGGCGAGCGUUAUCCGGAAUGAUUGGGCGUAAAGGGUGCGUAGGCGGCCUGCUAAGUCUGGAGUGAAAGGUACCGGCUCAACCGGGACAGGCUCUGGAAACUG